AAUAGCUUCAGGCUUCCUACUGCCUUCUCGUGCAUAUGGCCCUCCUUUGUUUUCUGUUAGAGAGAAAAUGUCCGAAUUUUAGAUGGUGGUUUUUGCGAUCACAGCAAGAGUUAAGGAAAUUUUGGUGGAUCCAGUGAUGACUGAUUGGAGCUUCUUCAGCCUGAGUUUCCACUUUCUAUCUUUGGUUGCCUUUUGUUUCGUGAGACCACACCAUAAACUCAUACCAGGAACGAGGAAACACAUCUCUGAGAGCCACUGAAUUAUCACACAUAUAAAGGAUCUGGAACUCUGUUAACCAGCCCACCUUUGGCUUUCCAUGAGACCUCGACUUCUGAUGGUCCACAUCUCUCUGAAAGUACUGAUUUCUCCCACCACAGAAAGCCAAUGCAGAAAUAGCCAGAGAAUAGCCCAGCUUUUGGUUUUAUCCAUCAGCAUAAGGUUUUCGUGCAUCAAAUCUGUUUGAGGAUUCUGAAAAGGCUGAUUCAUGGCGUGGUUUAAGAACACUGUUUGUUCCUUCAAGUUCCUGAUUGCUUCCAGGGGAUCCAUUUGGCUUCUCCCGACUCGAGCUGAGAGUCUUUCCAAGAAUAGAGAGAACAGAGGCUCCGAAGAGCUGAACCACAGGCUUUGAGGUCUGACCAUUUGACUUUGUUCUGAUCAGAAAUGAAACCUGAAAUUUUCAAUGAAAGAAAAUUUGUACAAUGUGGGAAACGGUUUUGGGACAAAAUUGAAACAAUAAUUCUAAUGUGGCCUCUUAGAAUGUGACCUUUUUAUCUCUUAAC